rnacentral:lncRNA from 10 species
CUCAGCCUCCCAAAGUGCUGGGAUUACAGGCAUGAGCCACUGUGCCUGGCCCAGGAGACUUAAUAUUUAAAGGCUGUCAAUUAUCCCCAAGUUAAUCUAGAAAUUAAAUGAAAUUCAGAUGAACAUCCUAAGAAGUUUUGAAUUACUCAAAGUCUUAGCAGGAAACCAAUGGCACACACAGAAGUGUUCACCGAGGGGAGUCAAUGAAGGACCUGUUUACAAAGGUGUGGACAAAGCUUAAGGAAACCAAGAAACCAACAGGGGAAGGUGAGGCACCCUAAGCUAGCAAAAGCAAAGAAGCACUGUUAGCACCCCUGGGCCUGAAGCUGCAAGCAGAUGGAACCGUUAUCAGAACCCAGACAGUGCUCUAGCUUUAGCUGUAGAGAGGCCCACCUGGCAGGCCUUCGGUAGAGGAACAGCUGCUACUAACCUGGACAUAGGGGUGAGAGAGCCAAGGAGAGAAAUACCUUGACCUGUUCCUCCUUUUGCCCUUCAUUCUCUUUCCAUUGACUCUCAUUAGCUGAAUAUAAGAAGGAGAGACCCAGUCGAUGCUGCCCAUGCAGAGGUCAGCCUCAUGGGACACAGAACAAGGUGAAGAGUGGAAAGUGUUUCUGAAGGAGCAAUCAGAGAAUAUCCAGUGCAGGUGUUUUUCAUAGUAUUUUUCAAGGUGAUCUUGAACUUCAUGUGGAAGAUCGGAGGAUUAAAACCAGCAAGGAAAGUUUUUGAAGCAAC